rnacentral:tRNA from 1 species
UGGAUAGCUCAGUUGGUUAGAGCCUGGAGCUGAUAACGCCAAGGUUGCAGGUUCGAUCCCCGUCUGGGACAG